CACCAUUCCACUCAGAGGGCAUGUGGAACAGUGUUUUGCACAUCUCUAAGCCUGUCCUUAGGAGGAAGAGAGAAAGACAAAGAGAAUAUAUAAAUUGUUUGAUUGUUUUUUCAAGAGAGAUCAUUUUAACCAUCCCAUAUGUGUCUUAACUGGAGUAGAAGAGUUACUGUGCUCUGUUCCAUCACCUUAAGAUUCUAGGUCAUCUUCAGUGCCUCCUUCAUGCUGCAAUCACUUGCAGGAAUUCUGUAUUCCAUUUACUGUCUUAAAGGUCAGAAAACAUUUUUCCCUUAAUUGCAAUGGCAGCACGCCAGCCUCCCCAACCUACUUGGAUAUUAUUAAGGAAAGCCAAAAGUCUGCACAAGAAAAACACAGUAAUUUUCUGGAUUUUGAGCAUCGCUAUGGUGUAGAGNUGAGCCGUCUCGAAGAACAAAGGCAUAAAGUUACCAGGAUGUACAAAAGGUUUGCUUUUAUUUUCGUUUGUUAAAACAGAAGGUUAAAUGUCU
rnacentral:lncRNA from 1 species